rnacentral:tRNA from 1 species
CAGGAGAUAAUAUAAUUAAAAUGGGGGUUGGGGGCCCCAGUUGGGCUUGCCCUCUUUUGA